UUUAAGGCGGGGGCCGGCGAAAUUUCCGCCCUUACCCGCAUGAACUUAAGCAUAUCAAUAAGCGGAGGAAAAGAAACUAACAAGGAUUCCCCUAGUAACUGCGAGUGAAGCGGGAAAAGCUCAAAUUUAAAAUCUGGCGGUCUUGCGGCCGUCCGAGUUGUAAUCUGGAGAAGCAUUUAUCCGCGUCGGACCGUGUACNAGUCUUCUGAAAGGGAGCGUCGUAGAGGGUGAGAAUCCCGUCUUUGACACGACAACCGAUGCUUUUGUGAUGCGCUCUCGAAGAGUCGAGUGUUUUGGAAUGCAGCUCCAAAUUGGUGUAAAAUUCAUUCUAAAGCUAAAUAUUGCGAGAGACCGAUACGAACAAGUACCGUGAGGAAAAGAUGAAAAGCACUUGGAAAGAGAGUUAAACAGUACGUGAAUUGUGAAAAGGGAACGNUUUGAAGUCAGUCGCGUCGGCCGAGACUCACCUGGCUUUCUGCCGGGUGCACUUCUCGGUUGACGGGUCAGCAUCAAUUUUGACCGCCGGAUAAAGGUUGGGGGAAUGUGCAUCCCUUCGGGAUGUGUUAUAGACCUCGAUUCGGAUACGGCGAUUGGGAUUGAGGAACUCGGCGCUCUGCGUCCAGGAUGCUGGCAUAAUGGCUUUAAGCGACCCGUCUUGAAACACGG
rnacentral:rRNA from 1 species